AACGAACGCUGGCGGCAUGCCUAACACAUGCAAGUCGAACGAGACCUUCGGGUACAGUUGCGCACGGGUGCGUCACGCGUGGGAACCUGCCCUUAGGUUCGGACUAACUCCCCGAAAGGGGUGCUAAUACCGGAUAAUGUCUUCGGACCAAUGAUUUAUCGCCUUUGGAUGGGGCCGCGUUGGAUUAGCUAGUUGGUAGGGUAAAAGCCUACCAAGGCGACGAUCCAUAGCUGGUCUGAGAGGAUGAUCAGCCACACUGGGACUGAGACACGGCCCAGACUCCUACGGGAGGCAGCAGUGGGGAAUGUUGGACGAUGGGCGAAAGCCUGAGCCAUCAAGGCCGCGUGAGUGAUGAAGGCCUUAGGAUUGUAAAGCUCUGUUACCCGGGAUGAUAAUGACAGUACCGGGAGAAUAAGCGCCGGCUAACUCCGUG
rnacentral:rRNA from 1 species